CGAACGAAGCACCUGAGAAUGAUUCUUCGGAUGAAGUCUCUUGUGACUGAGUGGCGGACGGGUGAGUAACGCGUGGGUAACCUGCCUCACACAGGGGGAUAACAGUUGGAAACGACCGCUAAUACCGCAUAACCCGCUGGUGCCGCAUGGCACUGACGGAAAAGAUUUUAUCGGUGUGAGAUGGACCCGCGUCUGAUUAGCCAGUUGGCAGGGUAACGGCCUACCAAAGCGACGAUCAGUAGCCGGCCUGAGAGGGUGAACGGCCACAUUGGGACUGAGACACGGCCCAGACUCCUGCGGGAGGCAGCAGUGGGGAAUAUUGCACAAUGGGGGAAACCCUGAUGCAGCGACGCCGCGUGAGUGAAGAAGUAUUUCGGUAUGUAAAGCUCUAUCAGCAGGGAAGAAAAUGACGGUACCUGACUAAGGAGCCCCGGCUAACUACGUGCCAGCAGCCGCGGUAAUACGUAGGGGGCAAGCGUUAUCCGGAUUUACUGGGUGUAAAGGGAGCGUAGACGGUGAUGCAAGUCAGAAGUGAAAGCCCGGGGCUCAACUCCGGGACUGCUUUUGAAACUGUGUGACUGGAGUGCAGGAGAGGUAAGCCGAAUUCCUGGUGUAGCGGUGAAAUGCGUAGAUUUCUGGAAAAACACCAAUAACAAAAACAGCUUACUAAACUAUAACUAACAUUAAAGCUCAAAAGCGUGGGAACCCUUUUUAGGGAGANACCAAGGAAGUACAAAAAGNNAAGGGCUUUGAUUGGNGNNNGAAAGCAAAGCUCUUCGGUGCCGCAGCAAACGCAUUAAAUAUUCCACCUGGGGAGUACGUUCGCAAGAAUGAAACUCAAAGGAAUUGACGGGGACCCGCACAAGCGGUGGAGCAUGUGGUUUAAUUCGAAGCAACGCGAAGAACCUUACCAGGUCUUGACAUCCCUCUGACCGGGAUUUAACCGUCCCUUUCCUUCGGGACAGAGGAGACAGGUGGUGCAUGGUUGUCGUCAGCUCGUGUCGUGAGAUGUUGGGUUAAGUCCCGCAACGAGCGCAACCCUUACCUUCAGUAGCCAGCGGUUCGGCCGGGCACUCUGGAGGGACUGCCAGGGACAACCUGGAGGAAGGUGGGGAUGACGUCAAAUCAUCAUGCCCCUUAUGAUCUGGGCUACACACGUGCUACAAUGGCGUAAACAAAGGGAAGCGAGACAGUGAUGGCAAGCAAAUCUCAGAAAUAACGUCUCAGUUCGGAUUGCAGUCUGCAACUCGACUGCAUGAAGCUGGAAUCGCUAGUAAU
rnacentral:rRNA from 1 species